AUUGAACGCUGGCGGCAGGCCUAACACAUGCAAGUCGAGCGGAUGAAGGGAGCUUGCUCCUGGAUUCAGCGGCGGACGGGUGAGUAAUGCCUAGGAAUCUGCCUGGUAGUGGGGGAUAACGUCCGGAAACGGGCGCUAAUACCGCAUACGUCCUGAGGGAGAAAGUGGGGGAUCUUCGGACCUCACGCUAUCAGAUGAGCCUAGGUCGGAUUAGCUAGUUGGUGGGGUAAAGGCCUACCAAGGCGACGAUCCGUAACUGGUCUGAGAGGAUGAUCAGUCACACCGGAACUGGGAACCGGUCCCGACUCCUAAGGGAGGCCGCAGUGGGGAAUAUUUGAACAUGGGCCGAAGCCCGAUCCAGGCCUGCCGCGUGUGUUAAGAAGGUCUUCCGAUUGUUAAGGCCCUUAAGUUGGGAGGAAGGGCAGUAAGUUAAUACCUUGCUGUUUUGACGUUACCAACAGAAUAAGCACCGGCUAACUUCGUG
rnacentral:rRNA from 1 species